GACGCCACCUCCUUGCCACACCUAUGUCGCCACCUUGCCACUACACCACAGACUGUUUUUGUGUCAUGAUUUCACAAAAAUAAUUAUAAAUCCUUCAAGCUAAAGCCAAGAUUCACUUAAGAGCAAAAAUAAAAAAAUUUGCUAAAGCCCAGGACUUCUCCAACGGUCCCAACUCUUCCUAAAUCACUUAACCACUGAAGCAGAC
rnacentral:lncRNA from 1 species